AUGGUAAUCCACUCCUCAUCGAGCCUCAGCCGCGGCGGCAGCAGCAACCCCCCGGCGCUGCUCGACGCGCUACUGCUCCCUCUGCCAAUGCCGUCCAACUUCUCUCCAUCUGAUCUCACAUGCGCACGAUCCUUGAUUUCAGUACAGGCCGGAACCAACGCGUACGUACGUUGUGGUAAAAAGAUGGAGACGGCGCCGGGUGUUGUGGGGCUGUGCGACGACGUCCUGGUGGAGAUCCUUGUCCGUCUCCCGUCCAAGUCGGUGCUCCGCUGCCGCGCCGUGUGCAAGAGAUGGCGCCGCAUCACCACCGACGGCUCCUUCCUGGCCGCCCACGCUGCCCACGCGGCCAGCUGCACGCGCGAGAUGAUCAUCCGCCCCGGGCACGUGUAUGACCCUAGCUCCUUAUUGGCCGUGGAAACCAUCCGUCUAUCUCUUGAUCCCAGGCCUAGGCCGAUCCGCUUUCUUUGCAACCGAACCCAUCUAAUGUGGUGCCGAGUAUUGUAUUCUCUGGACGGCCUGCUGGUGUUGCGGCCACGACCCAGCCGCUACAUUAUCUGCAACCCGAUGACCAGACAGUCAGCCAGCUUGCCGCCGUUGGCUCCACAGCCGUGCUUCACCGCCUGUGCCUGCGGCUUUUACUUGCACGGCUCCUCCAACGAGUAUCGCCUCUUGUGCCAUUGCUUGCAAGGAGAAGCCAGGGAGCACUCCUACUACAUCCUCUCCACUGCCAGCACCUUGCCUCGACGACUGGGCCGCGCACCAACUCCAGCAGACCUACCCACCAGCUGGGUCCGGUAUGAAGUUCCUGUGGCUCACCGCGGCAUCCUCCAUUGGUUCUCUGAGCACUCGGAAGCUACCCGCACCGGCAAGAUGCUGGCGUUCCAUACGGUUUCCGAGACGUUCCGCCUCAUGUCGCGGCCGCCGGAGCGACCCGGCGAUACUACCACAAGCUGGAGCUUGUUCGAGCUAGACGGCGAGCUCUGCGUCGCGGCUAUGCAAAGCGAGACAUCGCUGGACAUCUGGGUGUUGCAGGACUACAAGGCGGAGAGCUGGAUGCUGCGCCAUCGGGUCACAAUGUUGGGUGGCAGCAACGCUGUGACGAUGACAAUGGUAGUCUCCGUUGGAAGCGGCGCCAUCCUCAUUGGAAGUCGCUAUUGCGAUGUGGCCAGAUUGUACAAUCUCAAAGACAAGAAGACGCACAAGGAUGUAAUCUUCGGCCCCUCAUUACCCACCUUCUUGCUAUUCAGUGAGAGCCUCGUGUCGCAUGCCUUCUUCGAUUCGCCUCCGCACCCUGGCUUUGAAUCCAUAAGCUUCUCUCCUCGCAGAGGAGGUAGCUAG
rnacentral:rRNA from 1 species